rnacentral:rRNA from 1 species
UAAAACCAAAUCCUAUUUAUCAGUGAUGUCUGAGCAAAUAUUAACAUAAUCAAAACUUUCAACAACGGAUCUCUUGGUUCUGGCAUCGAUGAAGAACGCAGCGAAAUGCGAUAAGUAAUGUGAAUUGCAGAAUUCAGUGAAUCAUCGAAUCUUUGAACGCACAUUGCGCCCCUCGGUAUUCCGGGGGGCAUGCCUGUUCGAGCGUCAUU